CCUACGGGAGGCAGCAGUGGGGAAUAUUGCACAAUGGGGGAAACCCUGAUGCAGCGACGCCGCGUGAGUGAAGAAGUAAUUCGUUACGUAAAGCUCUAUCAGCAGGGAAGAAACACUGACCUUACGGUCAUCAGACUGUACCUGAGUAAGAAACCCCGGCUAACUCCGUGCCAGCAGACGCGGUAAUACGGAAGGUCCGGGCGUUAUCCGGAUUUAUUGGGUUUAAAGGGAGCGUAGGCGGGUCUUUAAGCGUGCCGUGAAAGUUUGUGGCUCAACCAUGAGAGUGCGGCGCGAACUGGAGACGUUGAGUGCGCGGAAGGCAGGCGGAAUUCGUGGUGUAGCGGUGAAAUGCUUAGAUAUCACGAAGAACCCCGAUUGCGAAGGCAGCCUGCCGAAGCGUUACUGACGCUGAAGCUCGAAAGCGCGGGUAUCGAACAGGAUUAGAUACCCCAGUAGUC
rnacentral:rRNA from 1 species